AUGAACUUUUGCGCGUGACGUCAGAUUAUGAGCCUCUUACUGUAUCCCUGAUACUGAUUAUCUACAUGAGCGGGGAUAAGACGGCGCUUGGCAGGGGAAGUCCCGGAGUGCCUGUUCGCGAUCGGUCACGAAGUAGACGAGCGUUUCACGGGCGGAAAUCGGUGUUGUGGAACGGAAAUUUCCGACGAAACAGUACGUGUCGGUCAGAACAACAUGCAGUAAAAAGACUAGUGAUAAACCAUGAAUGUUAAACGAAAUAAGAAUUACGGAGUUUUCUGUAAGAUUACGCAGCUGGAACAAGACGAGUAAUACCACUGGGUGCAAGAAAAACUACUGUUGAAGUGUUUGCAACAAGUUUGCAGAAGUAGUAAUUGUGAAAUUAUUACUGUUUGAAGUGGUGCAAAGGAGUUACUUCCCGUAGAAGUGAGUCGGCAGUUAAUGAAUGGACCACAGCAUACGAACUACGAUAGUGCAGACUAGGAAGAAUUAGCAUUCGCAUACGACAACGUGUAGCGGAUUUAUAGAAGAGACUGAACGAUACAGCCUAUUUGCGAAAAAUUGGUUGAAGAACCUACACGAUUUGCACCAGCUUCUAGGAAUUGUGUUACUCUAAGGGCUGCCCAACCAUGUGAGAAAAGUGAUAAUCUUCGAGCGUUCUUGGAGUGUAGGAGCUGAAGAAUCUGCGAUCGUUGGGGUGGCUACAAGCAGAUCUUCAACAGAAAUACAGGAAUAUUUGUUUCGCUACCCCGUUCCUAAUCAGUCGUCAGAGCUGAACAAAGAAGACUAAACUUCGCUUUGUCACUAAUUCUAAUAUUUUCUCUGUAUAUCGUAGAUUUUCUCACUUUCUAAGUAUCUGUAGUUUAUACAAUGUUUUCCUAAUAAACCGUGUUUCAGGUA